rnacentral:rRNA from 1 species
AUUGAACGCUGGCGGCAGGCCUAACACAUGCAAGUCGAGCGGAUGAAGGGAGCUUGCUCCUGGAUUCAGCGGCGGACGGGUGAGUAAUGCCUAGGAAUCUGCCUGGUAGUGGGGGAUAACGUCCGGAAACGGGCGCUAAUACCGCAUACGUCCUGAGGGAGAAAGUGGGGGAUCUUCGGACCUCACGCUAUCUGAUGAGCCUAGGUCGGAUUAGCUAGUUGGUGGGGUAAAGGCCUACCAAGGCGACGAUCCGUAACUGGUCUGAGAGGAUGAUCAGUCACACUGGAACUGAGAAACGGUCCAGACUCCUACGGGAGGCAGCAGUGGGGAAUAUUGGACAAUGGGCGAAAGCCUGAUCCAGCCAUGCCGCGUGUGUGAAGAAGGUCUUCGGAUUGUAAAGCACUUUAAGUUGGGAGGAAGGGCAGUAAGUUAAUACCUUGCUGUUUUGACGUUACCAACAGAAUAAGCACCGGCUAACUUCGUG